UCCACAGAAGAAAGUCAAGGCCUUUAGCAAGUCAUUACAUCAUUGGACAGCUCUUCCAAGAUCAAGAUGCAGGGCCCCGACAACAUCACAGAGCUCUUGAAGCAUGAGUAACACAGAAAGUACAGUCCGUAUGGUCCAUGGGCUCUUGGUGCUUUUAAGGAAUGCAGCUUAUUACCUAAAAGUAGAAUACAUCUGUAUCCUGUAAGUGGCCACUCGCUUCCGAAUAACUUCUUCAAGGACCCAUUCCCAGAAGCAUUUUUGGUUCUUUGGAGAAAGUGGCUUAGUGACUCGUCUCACAGUUAGCUAACUGAACCUUCAGAGAAUCACCAGCAUGAUGCCAGCUACCAGUGAGAGUGAAGCCUCUGGAUGCUUGAAGCCCAUCAGUGGGUCUCCGAUUUGGAUUGGAAUGACAUGAGCCGUGGUCUGCCUGCUGUACAAACUUCAUAGACGACAAUGGAUUUACUGACAGUUACAUUCUGUUAGCAAGCGGCAAGAUACCUCUUACUUUGCCCAGUGUUCUUCCUAACGUUAUUAAACAGCUG